GGCCUGAUGGUCUAGUAGUAUGAUUCCUUGUUAGGGUGAGGCAGUUCUGCCAAUAUCCAAUUCGAGGAGGUCCUGGGUUCAAUUCCCAGUCAGGCCC